CUCUGAGGCUCCAGAGAAAUAUACUAAGAAAGUUGUGGCAGAUGGAGGAGGUGGAUGUGGGGCACGGAGGAUAGUCCCCCCUCCCCUAAAUUCAACCACAAUAAUUAUACCUUAUAACAGUUGCUUAUUAACCUUCUGCUUAAGAGUUUGUUUUUUAAUUUCACUUAUUAGAAAACGUUUGAAAAACAUUUAUCUGACUGAUUUCUAACUUCCCUUCCAGCCUUUAAAUCCCAAUUUCCUAAUUGCUUCCUGAGACUAUCCUCAUAACUUGAAGUGAUAUUUAUUUUUGACACAGCAGAAUACGUAUAACCUAUAUUACCUUUGACAGUCUAUUCUGACAAUGUAGCAUUUAUGUUAUACUUUGUCAUAAAGCCUGACAAACUUUCAUUGGUAUUAGUCUUAUCUGUAGAGAUUAUCUAUUAAAAGAGGGAAUGUAUCAUAUGUCAUAGAGUUUGAAAUAGUUCUUGUCAUGUAGGAAGAGUCCUGUAUAAAUGCAUAGGAAUCAUCCAGCACAUAUGUAUUCCACAGGAUAAUAUACCAUCUAACAACCUCUGAUCUUUGUUGCCUGCAUGUUAAAGAUUUCAAGGUUGUAUUUUUCAUCACAUUCAGAGUACAGUGGUUGAAAAUUUGAAACAUUUGAAACGAGAUAUUUCCUAGCCUGAAGAUCUUCAUCACAGAGUUAGAAAAGGCUCCUCUUUGAAAGAAAAGACUUCCUUAUACUCAUCUUCAUCUGGAAUUUCCCCAGUACUCCUUAUUUCUGAC
rnacentral:lncRNA from 1 species